rnacentral:sRNA from 1 species
UGGUCACACAGUAGUGACAGGUGGAGCCAGCCCACACCCAGUCUUCUGAUGCCACUCCUUUGCAGAGGCUGUAUGUCCUUCUCUGUCCCUGCCCCUGCGCCCUCCUCCUGCCCACCAGACCCUUCUCUGGGAUAUCCCCCUAGUUUGGUUGCUGCGGGGUCAACGGGCCUGAAGACUUUAAGUUUGCAUCUGUGUUUCGACUCCUGACCCUGGAUAGUGAAGAGGUGCCGGAGGCCUGCUGCCGGAGGGAACCCCAAAGUCGGGAUGGGGUCCUGCUGAGCCGGGAGGAGUGUCUCCUGGGAAGAAGCCUGUUCCUAAACAAGCAGGGCUGUUACACGGUGAUCCUCAACACCUUCGAAACCUACGUCUACUUGGCCGGAGCCCUUGCCAUCGGGGUACUGGCCAUUGAGCUUUUCGCCAUGAUCUUUGCCAUGUGCCUCUUCCGGGGCAUCCAGUAGAGGGUGUGGCCUGAAGCCUGAAGACUCGCCCCACCCACCACUGCCCAGCACCCAAUGUCCUCCCGUGCCCCUCCCUGCUGUCCUCUUGGCCCCAGGGGAGAAGAUGAGCCAUCAGAGAUGGCCAGGAGAAGGGUCAGGGGAAUAGAGCUAUUUUUUUAACAAAACAAAACGAAGACAAAAAUAUGGACUGACGUAUCCGCGCCUGGACUCAGGGCAGGUGCCAUGGGUUCUCCAGAGACCC